rnacentral:rRNA from 1 species
AAUACGACCGUACCGCAAACCGACACUGGUGCGCGAGAUGAGUAUUCUAAGGCGCUUGAGAGAACUCAGGAGAAGGAACUCGGCAAAUUGACACCGUAACUUCGGAAGAAGGUGUGCCCUAUUAGUGUGUAGUGAACAACGAAGCAUGAAUGGGUUGCAAAAAAUCGGUGGCUGCGACUGUUUAUUAAAAACACAGCACUCUGCAAACACGAAAGUGGACGUAUAGGGUGUGACGCCUGCCCGGUGCUGGAAGAUUAAAUGAUGGGGUGCAAGCUCUUGAUUGAAGUCCCAGUAAACGGCGGCCGUAACUAUAACGGUCCUAAGGUAGCGAAAUUCCUUGUCGGGUAAGUUCCGACCUGCACGAAUGGCGUAACGAUGGCCACACUGUCUCCUCCUGAGACUCAGCGAAGUUGAAAUGUUUGUGAUGAUGCAAUCUCCCCGCGGAAAGACGGAAAGACCCCAUGAACCUUUACUGUAGCUUUGUAUUGGACUUUGAACAGAUCUGUGUAGGAUAGGUGGGAGGCUUUGAAGCAGGGUCGCUAGAUCUUGUGUAGCCAACGUUGAAAUACCACCCUGGUGUGUUUGAGGUUCUAACCUAGGUCCAUUAUCUGGAUCGGGGACAGUGCAUGGUAGGCAGUUUGACUGGGGCGGUCUCCUCCCAAAGCGUAACGGAGGAGUUCGAAGGUACGCUAGUUACGGUCGGACAUCGUGACGAUAGUGCAAUGGCAUAAGCGUGCUUAACUGCGAGACUGACAAGUCGAGCAGAUGCGAAAGCAGGACAUAGUGAUCCGGUGGUUCUGUAUGGAAGGGCCAUCGCUCAACGGAUAAAAGGUACUCUGGGGAUAACAGGCUGAUACCGCCCAAGAGUUCAUAUCGACGGCGGUGUUUGGCACCUCGAUGUCGGCUCAUCUCACCCUGGGGCUGUAGCCGGUCCCAAGGGUAUGGCUGUUCGCCAUUUAAAGAGGUACGUGAGCUGGGUUUAAAACGUCGUGAGACAGUUUGGUCCCUAUCUUCCGUGGGCGCUGCAGAUUUGAGGAAGCCUGCUCCUAGUACGAGAGGACCGGAGUGGACACACCUCUGGUGUAUCGGUUGUCACGCCAGUGGCAUUGCCGAGUAGCUAAGUGUGGAAGAGAUAACCGCUGAAAGCAUCAAGCGGGAAACUCGUUUCAAGAUGAGAUCUGCCGGGGCCUUGAGCCCCCUAAAGAGUCGUUCAAGACCAGGACGUUGAUAGGUCAGGUGUGGAAGC